rnacentral:rRNA from 1 species
UUAAAGGAAUUGACGGAAGGGCACUACAAGGAGUGGAGCCUGCGGCUUAAUUUGACUCAACACGGGAAACCUUUCCAGGCCAGGACACUGGAAGGAUUGACAGAUUGAGAGCUCUUUCUUGAUUCGGUGGGCGGUGGUGCAUGGCCGUUUUUAGUUCGUGGAUCGAUUUGUCUGGUUAAUUCCGUUAACGGACGAGACCUCGACCUGCUAACUAGUCGAUUCCGGCAUCCUUGGCGCAGCCGGCGAUUACCAAUCUUCUUAGAGGGACAGGCGGCGUCUAGCCGCACGAAAUGAGGCAAAAACAGGUCUGUAAUGCCCUUAGAUGUUCUGGGCAGCACGCGCGCUACACUGAAGGGCGCAACGUGUGUUUUCCUUGCCCGAGAGGGCCGGGUAACCCGUUCAACUUCCUUCGUGCUAGGGAUUGGGGCUUGCAAUUUUUCCCCACGAACGAGGAAUUCCUAGUAAGCGGGAGUCAUUAGCUCCCGUUGAUUAAGUCCCUGCCCUUUGUCCACACCGCCCGUCGCUACUACCGAUUGAAUGUUUUAGUGAGGUCUUCGGACCAGUGCUCGGCCCUUAAAAGGCCUUGCUACCGGAAAGAUGACCGAACUUGAACAUUUAGAGGAAGUAAAAGUCGUAACAAGGUUGCC